rnacentral:rRNA from 1 species
CGACGCCGCGUGGGGGAUGAAGGCCUUCGGGUUGUAAACCUCUUUCACCAGGAGCGAAUCCAGACGGUACCUGGGGAAGAAGCGCCGGCUAACUACGUGC